rnacentral:rRNA from 1 species
UACGUAGGGUGCGAGCGUUGUCCGGAAUUACUGGGCGUAAAGAGCUCGUAGGUGGUUUGUCGCGUUGUUCGUGAAAUCUCACGGCUUAACUGUGAGCGUGCGGGCGAUACGGGCAGACUAGAGUACUGCAGGGGAGACUGGAAUUCCUGGUGUAGCGGUGGAAUGCGCAGAUAUCAGGAGGAGCACCAGUGGCGAAGGCGGGUCUCUGGGCCGAAACUGACGCUGAGGAGCGAAAGCGUGGGGAGCAAACAGG